UACGAGUGGUGCAAGCGUUAUUCGGAAUCACUGGGCGUAAAGGGUGUGUAGGCGGCAAAUCAAGUCUGUUGUAAAAUAUCCCAGCUUAACUGGGAGUGUGCGAUGGAAACUGGUUUGAUAGAGGGUGAAAGAGAGAAGUGGAAUUCUCGGAGUAGCGGUAAAAUGCGUAGAUAUCGAGAGGAACACCGAUGGCGAAGGCAGCUUUCUUGGUUCACACCUGACG
rnacentral:rRNA from 1 species